rnacentral:tRNA from 1 species
UUCUUGGCAGUCCAGUGGUUAGGACUUAGCGCUUUCACCACUGUGGACCUGGGUUCAAUCCCUGGUCAGGGAA